UUUCUUUGCCUGGAGGUUACGUCCAUACAGUUAUAA
rnacentral:sRNA from 1 species